ACUUGAGAUGUCAUUUUUUUUUUUUUUUAGAAAAUGUAUGUUUUUUUUUUAAUCUACAUUAGGCUACCAUGAGAUUCUCAUAACAUUGGUCCUUAGCAGCACCAACACUGUAAUUUUUCCAUAGGAUUAUGUGCAUGCAUCUAUUUAGGAAUAACAAGUCAUGAUCAAAGCCUCAGUGACACAUUGAGAAAGCCAGGUUCAGUUCAGUGUCUAAAUAGAAGAGCACACACACACAUGCACACACACACACACACACACAUUAAAAUAAGAAGAAGUUAAAGAGGCAAACCAUCCUGCAGGCUGUGCCAAGAAGAGGGCAGUUGUUUAGCACUCUGCUGGAAUUGGUGGCACUUGUAUUCUUUCUCUACCAGGCAGGUAAGAGCUGUGUUUCAAAGAUAGCCAUCUUUCUCCUUUGAUCACACUUUUUCUUUUUUCAAUCACUGAGUGACAGACAGACACUGUGAGGAAGUCAUUAGCGCUGGACCCCUCCCAGAAGCUAGAGUUAAUGAAGAUGUGCAAAGUAUAGCACCACUCUGUUUCUUUUUGUUUUCCUCUUCCCACCUGAUAGGGUGCACUAAAGUAGUUCAUGACAGACAGACUUGCUUUUCAGCCUGGAAAAUAAGUCCUUUAUAAAAAUUUACUAAUUGCUACUCUAAGUAGGACUUAAGACGUAAAUAAAGCAACUCUCAGGAAGUCUCUGAACUGACCAGAUUCAGAAGGUUCCUUCCUCUCUAAGCUUAUAGUAAGGAGACAGUAUCCAACCAUUUGUUCUGUUGAGAGCUCCAGGGUUCCAGCUCUCAUACGCCCUAACCCCUGCUACAUGGGCUUUCAAUGAUGCAGUUACAUUUGAGCUGUCCAUGCUCCUGUGAGUAACACCUUAUCAACAGACCUAGAAGUAACCCUGAAUAUGAUGGGCUUAACAAGUUGGAGUUUGAUGGUAUCAUUACUUUUGAUGGUCAUUCAUUCCAAAUCUUGUUUGAGUGCAUGUUCAUUAAUGUCUUUGCAGGAAUGUUGGCAUAAAACAUUUACGACAGGAGGAAAAUAAUUAUCACAUAUUACAGUGAUGGCUAUAUAUCACCAAGAGUCAAGACAAGUGUCUUUCAAAAAGGAGGGAAAAGACAAGAAGACAGCAAAGCCUUGAUUCUCUCUCUCUCUCUCUCUCUCUCUCUCUCUCCUUCUUUGUGUUUGUGUGUGGAGGGGGGUGUUUGUGUACUCCACUUCAGGUGACAUGGUAAACCAUGAAGGCCACACUUUUGUGAAUUUCCAUCCAGAGAAGAGGAAACACUUCACCUGGCUGGUGAUAUUACAUUUUUUUCUUUCAUUGUUUUAAAAUUUCAAAAUUCAAUAUGCAAUCUUUGGUUACAAACUUCUGAGAUGACUGCUGGUUUUUUUCUCAAACGAAAGUGAUUAUAUCUCAACAUUCAACAUUUUUCCUUUCAUAGUAAAUUUUCCAACUCUGCUGGAGUCUCAGGCCAUGUUGUAAGGUCAUGGCUCCUUUAAAAUGAAUGAGUUUUCUCAGAUAUAUUAUUACGAACUUCCCAGGUAUCUCAUUUUAUUCUCCAUUAUCUGUUGAAAAAAAAAACUGUAGAUAUGCGUGCCUCAUGAAAAGGACCAAGAAAAGGAGAACAACUCUCUAAAUAGUCUACUCAUGGCUAUAAUUCCCUGUUGUGUAAUCAUGAUUCUUAUUUUCUCUUUGGAAAAUAACUAUUUUUCUUAGCUUCUUAUCAAUGUAAUAACAUUUGGCUGUAAACUGAAAAUAUAUUACCCUAUUUUAAGUUUGUGGAAGAAGAAAUGGAGUUAGUUUAUAUCUCUAAUAAGCUGUUUGAUAAUGAGAAACAAAAGGGGUCAUUUAAGGCUCAUUAUGAAAUACGGCCUCUAAGAAUACUUUGGGGGCCAAUAUAAUACAAUAUAAACUAGGUGUUAGGGAAACAAAAACAGAUAGAGACUCUCCUGAUUCUCCAACGAGAGCUACCUGUUCAUAUUCCUUUCCCUUAGUGACUUGGAAUGCAGUAAGGUCAUAGAAGGGAAAAGACUUUGGGAGAAAUAAGAUUCCUUUACCACUUGGUUGAUGCAUCAGGGACACCACUUGAGAAUCUGUUUACUAUUAGACACAGACAGGCUGUGAUGGUGGUAUCUACAGAGAUCAGGUUCCUGGGAAAACUGUUUACUGUCAUUUUAAACUAAGGCCUCCUUUUUCCCUUCUCAGAACACUAAAUACAACUUGCAGUAAUUUAUCAGAUAAACAUAUGUUUCUCUUUCUGUCCCUACUAUAGAAAAAUAAGCUCCAUAAAACCAAUGAUCUCACUUGCAACCACUGUUCCUGCAUAGGGAUGUACAAUUACUACUCAUGACCUGAGCGAAUAAAUGAGAAAUAAACGUAGGAGAAAGCUGCUGUGAACCCAUGGACACUGGGGUGUGGGAUGUGGAACUGAUUCAGAUAGUCCACAGCAGCAAACCUUUGGGCUCUGAGAGGAGCUUUUGACAGCUGAAGACAGUUUAAAUCUUAGGACACUGGAGAGAGAAUCAGUGCCACAGCCCAGGGAGUGUUGAGGAGCUCUGAGAAAGAACGAGGCUGCUGCUGGUUCCCUCCUCUCUGUAACUCCUGGUUGCUGCUGAUGCAAUGAGAUAAAAAGUUGGAGAUCUCCUGAAGCAAGGAUUGGACUGGCUCCUACGAGCCCGAUGACCCUAACCAACAGGAAGCAGCUAGGAGAACUGUGCGCCCUCUCCCACUAAUCAUUUAUUUCUCCUACCUGGUGUUGGGGUGUUGGAAGAAAUUGGGCUGUAGCAGAAAGAAAGAGAUAUGAGAAAUAUAAAGAAAAGACUUUUUUAAAAAGUAUGCCAACAUUUGAUUACGCAAGGGUACAGAGAGCUAGCCACAUUCUUUAUCAAUUCUUUGGUUGAGAGAUAGCUAGAUUGUUUCUAGUUUCUGUCUAUUGCAAAUAAAGCCACUAUGAACAUAGUUGAGCAAAUGUCCUUGUUCUAUGGUGGAGCAUCUUUUGGGUAUAUACCCAGGAGUGGUAUAGCUAGGUCUUAAGAGAGAGAUAUUCCCAAUUUUCAGAGAAAUUAUCAGAUUGAUUUCCAAAGUGGUUGUACAAGUUUUCACUUCCACCAGCAGUGGAAGAGUGUUCCCCUUUCUCCACAACCUUACCAGCUUGUGCUGUCACUUGAGUUUUUCAUCUUAGCCAUUCUGAUGGGUAUGAAAUGGAAUCUUAGAGUUGUUUUGAUUUGUGUUGCCCUGAGGACUAAUGACAUUGAGCAUUUCUUUAAAUGUUGCUCAGCCAUUCAAAACCCAGAGCCAUAUGACACAGCCAGAAACCAACUAUUCUACCACAGCAAGCCAUGGAGAUACUGUCACACUGGAAGCACAUGAUAAUGAUCUUAAAUUUGAGGUUGUGAAAAUGAUCGAGGCCUUAAAAGAGGGAAAAUAAACUCCUUUUAAAACAAA